CUGAUUAAGAAUCCUUUUAAGGACAGGUCAUAGUGUCAUCCUGGGCAGUUUAUUUAAUACACUACCAAUGACACCACCAUGGUAUAUAUACAGCAACUUGUGGUUACCUCUUGGCAAAAGGGCUCUUUAGGUCAGAGGGCUGUGGUAGAAUUGCAGGGCUGCAGGUUCAAUUCAUGCUGACAGGCUUGUAAUUGUAUUCCACAUGUAGCCAUGAUAUCAU